CAUCAGUGCGGCUGCUUACCAUGCAGUCGACGAUGAAGCCCAGCUUGCUGGGUGGAUUAGUGGCGAACGGGUGAGUAACACGUGAGUAACCUGCCCUGGACUCUGGGAUAAGCGUUGGAAACGACGUCUAAUACCGGAUAGGACCUUGCACCGCAUGGUGUGGGGUGGAAAGUUUUUCGGUCUGGGAUGGACUCGCGGCCUAUCAGCUUGUUGGUGAGGUAAUGGCUCACCAAGGCGUCGACGGGUAGCCGGCCUGAGAGGGUGACCGGCCACACUGGGACUGAGACACGGCCCAGACUCCUACGGGAGGCAGCAGUGGGGAAUAUUGCACAAUGGGCGAAAGCCUGAUGCAGCAACGCCGCGUGCGGGAUGACGGCCUUCGGGUUGUAAACCGCUUUUAGUAGGGAAGAAGGGCUUCGGCUUGACGGUACCUGCAGAAAAAGGACCGGCUAACUACGUGCCAGCAGCCGCGGUAAUACGUAGGGUCCGAGCGUUGUCCGGAAUUAUUGGGCGUAAAGAGCUCGUAGGCGGUUUGUCGCGUCUGCUGUGAAAUCUGGAGGCUCAACCUCCAGCCUGCAGUGGGUACGGGCAGACUAGAGUGCGGUAGGGGAGAAUGGAAUUCCUGGUGUAGCGGUGGAAUGCGCAGAUAUCAGGAGGAACACCGAUGGCGAAGGCAGUUCUCUGGGCCGUAACUGACGCUGAGGAGCGAAAGCGUGGGGAGCGAACAGGAUUAGAUACCCUGGUAGUCCACGCCGUAAACGUUGGGCGCUAGAUGUGGGGACCUUUCCACGGUUUCCGUGUCGUAGCUAACGCAUUAAGCGCCCCGCCUGGGGAGUACGGCCGCAAGGCUAAAACUCAAAGGAAUUGACGGGGGCCCGCACAAGCGGCGGAGCAUGCGGAUUAAUUCGAUGCAACGCGAAGAACCUUACCAAGGCUUGACAUAUACGAGAACGCUGCAGAAAUGUAGAACUCUUUGGACACUCGUAUACAGGUGGUGCAUGGUUGUCGUCAGCUCGUGUCGUGAGAUGUUGGGUUAAGUCCCGCAACGAGCGCAACCCUCGUCGCAUGUUGCCAGCACGUAAUGGUGGGAACUCAUGUGAGACUGCCGGGGUCAACUCGGAGGAAGGUGGGGAUGACGUCAAAUCAUCAUGCCCCUUAUGUCUUGGGCUUCACGCAGGCUACAUGGCCGGUACAAAGGCUGCCAUUUCUAAGGCGAACCAAUCCCAAAAGCCGGUCUCAUUCGGAUGAGUCUGCACUCGACCUCAGAAAUCGGAAUCGCUUUAAUCGCAAAAAACAACCUUCGGGAAUACUUUCCCGGCCCUGUACCACCGCCGCCAAAUUUGAAAUCGGUAACCCCAACCCGGGCCUACCCCGGAGGGACUUCCAAGGGGACCGUUUGAAUAAGAAAUUUACCAAAGGGGCCCAAAAAGGGGGUUGGAGGGUUGGGGUGGUUUUAAAACUAUAUCAUAC
rnacentral:rRNA from 1 species